rnacentral:tRNA from 1 species
ACUUAGCUCAGCGGUAGAGCAAUCGGCUGUUAACCGAUCGGUCGGAGGUUCGAACCCUCUAGU